AUUGAACGCUGGCUGCAGGCCUAACACAUUCAAGUCGAACGGGUGUCGGCCGGGUGAGUCAUUUCUGGGAAACUUCCUGAUGGAGGGGGAUACCUCCUGGAAACGGUCGCUAAUACCGCAUACCAUCAGAUUUGCCCAGAUGAGAUUAGCUAGUUGGUGGGGUAACGGCUCACCAAGGCGACGAUCCCUAGCUGGUCUGAGAGGAGUACAAGCAACACUGGGACGGAGACACGGUCCAGACUCCGACGGUAGGCAGCAGUGGGGAAUAUAGCACAAUGGGCGAAAGCCUGAUGCAGCCAUGCAGCGUGUAUGAAGAAGGCCUUCGGGUUGUAAAGUACGUUCAGCGGGGAGGCGUUACCCGCAGAAGAAGAAACGGCUAACUCCGUGCCAGCCGCCGCGGUAAUUC
rnacentral:rRNA from 1 species